UUUUGGAGGCUACUUUGAUGAAAUAUCAUCAGAAAAAAACAAACAAACAAACAAACAAAACCCUGACAUUUGUUCAUCAUGAUGAAUUAGAUUAAUAAGGUCUAUUUUUAGGUCACCAUUUUGUUAAUGAAAUAGUUUCAGGCAACUGAUUUUGACUUGAUUUAAUUUAUUAAUCUUGGAGAGUUCCUGUUUCUAUUCCUGUUUCCAUGAACUGAAACUGCUCUAGCUGCAGGUUUACUAAUCCAGUGGACAUUUAUGCCCACAUCAGAAGAAACGAAACGGACAAAUGACUAAUAAUGAGAAGUUGACACCACCCUUUAUUUACCAGUGGUGGAAUCACAACAAAGGCGUUGAUGUUCUUUGGUGUCUUAUCCUCUUAUCAUCUUGGGUGUCUUUAUCCUCUUCAUCGUUGUGGAAAAUGGUUCUCAAAACUGACCUCAGAUAUUUGCUCGGCAGGAACCCUGUGGCGUCCACAGCAUCCUUUACCCUCAUUCUCUGGGCUGUUGAAAAGAUGGUGGAACUGGACUUUGUCUGUCCCUGCGUCGAGAAGUGGAACAUGUGGUUUUUUGAGUUGUACUUAGCUGGGCCUUCCUUGGCUUGUUUGGCUCUCAUGUGCUACUAUAUCAGGCCGAUGUCUUUGUGGAGCACCCUCCUUUGCCUUUCCUUGCCUUUAUUUUGGCUGCUGUUGAUCUUUUAUGAUGGUCGUUACCUUGCAUGUGGUCUUGCUGACUCAGACCACAAUGUCACCAUCAUCAUUGACAAACAAAGUCCUUGGAAGGUAUGUGGGUCUAGCAGUGAAGUGACCCCAGAGACCAGUCUUGAAGUUCCAGACUUUGUGUUGUGGAGUCGGUUGAUCGUCCUUGUCAUAGUUCUGAGCUUGUCCUCUAUCGGAGUAGUCUUGCAAAUGGUGGAAAGGACCAAAGAGAGCUUCAGCACAAAAUGGAGGCAGCCAGGAUUGCACUUCAACCAGAUAUGAAGAUGCUGCCAAGGGUGUAGUAGAUGUUGUGCAAACAACUCUUACUGAACCUUUCAGCAGUCAAUGGCAUAUGUCAUUAGUUCAUUAGUUAUAUUCUUUUCUCAGUGAUAACAUUCCCUUAGCUUCGCUGAAGUGCACUCUUUUAUCAGAUAAAUUGGUUAUAGUCAGUUUCAAGCCUCAACACUGUUGUACAAUGUAACAAAAUGUAUUAUGUUUAUACACAGUGUUAUUGUACUGUUAUUCUUUUACAAACUAGAUGUACCGCAGAGCGGUACAAAAUAUGACCGCCACCCAGUCCAGCACAUUUUUUCCACAAAAAUAAAUCACGCUGAAAGGCCUAUAUGAUUC